AGUUCGAUCAUAGCUCAGAUUGAACGCUGGCAGGAUGCCCCGCAUACCAGGUCGAACGGCAGCACGGACUUCGGUCUGGUGGCGAGUGGCGAACGGGUGAGCGAUGUAUCGGAACGUGCCUAGUAGCGGGGGAUAACUGAAAGCGUAGCUAAUGCCACAUACGCCCGUGGAGGAAAGCGGGGACCUUCGGGCCUCCGCACUAUUGGAAGCGGCCGAUAUCAGGAUUAGUUGGUGGAGUAACGGCUCACCAAAGGCGACGAUCGCUGGCUGGUUUGAAGGACGACCAGCCACACUGGGACUGAGACACGGCCCAGACUCUGCCUGGGAGGCAGCAGUGAGGGGAAUUUUGGACAAUGGAAACCUGAUCCAGCAUGCAUCCAGCGUACGCGAUGAAGGCCUUCGGGUUGUAAGGCACUUUUGGCAGGAAAAAGCGGCACGGGAUAAUACCCGUGCAACUGACGGUACCUGCAGAAUAAGCACCAGUAACGUGCCAGCAGCCGCGGUAAUACGUAAGUGCAGCGUUAAUCGGAAUUACAGAAUAAAGCGUGCGCAGGCGGUUCGGAAAGAAAGAUGUGAAAUCCCAGAGCUUAACUGGAACUGCAUUUUAACUACCGAGCUAGAGUGUGUCCAGAGGGAGGUGGAAUUCCACGCGAUAGCAGUGAAAUGCGUAGAUAUGCGGAGGAACACCGAUGGCGAAGGCAAUAUCUGGGAUAACACUGACGCUCAUGCACGAAGCAAUGGGGAGCAAACAGGAUUGAAUGCCCACCGGUAGUCCACGCCACAAACGAUGUCAACUAGCUGUUGGGCGCUGGACGCCGGUAGCGCAGCUAGCGUGAAAUUGACCUGGAAAUGCAGUCGCAAGAUUAAAACUCAAAGGAAUUGACGGGGACCGCACAAGCGGUGGAUGAUGUGGUUAAUUCGAUGCAACGCGAAAAACCUUACCUACCCUUGACAUAAUACCGGAAUCCCGAAGAGAUUUGGGAGUGCUCAUAGAAACCGGAACACAGGUGCUGCAUGGCUGUCGUCCAGCUCGUGUCGUGGAUGUUGGGUUAGUCCCGCAACGGGCGCAGCCACUGUCGUCGUUCUUUACGAAAGAGCUCUAAUGGGAACACCAUUGCGACAAACCGGAGAAGGUGGGGAUGACGCGUCAGUCUCGCGGCAUAUGGUGGAACUGCACGUCAUACAAUGGUCGGGACAGAGGUCGCCAGCCCGCGAGGGGAGGCCAAUCCCAGAAACCCGAUCGUAGUCCGGAUCGCAGUCUGCAACUCGACUGCGUGAAGUCGGAAUCAUAGUAAUCGCGGAUCAAUAUCGCAGGUGGUCGUUCGGGUCUUGUACACACGCCCGUCACACCAUGGGGGUGGGUUUUUACCAGAAGUAGUUAAGCUAACCGUAAGGAGGGCGAUUACCAUUGGGAUUCAUGACUGGGGUGAAGUCGUAACAAGGUAA
rnacentral:rRNA from 1 species